rnacentral:misc_RNA from 1 species
GAUGAAGAACGUAGCGAAAUGCGAUAAGUAGUGUGAAUUGCAGAAUUCAGUGAAUCAUCGAAUCUUUGAACGCACAUUGCGCCCCUUGGUAUUCCAUGGGGCAUGCCUGUUCGAGCGUCAUUAAGUCCACUUAAGCCCUGCUUAGUGUUGGGAGACUGCUCCAGCGGUGCUACCCUGUAGCUACCCUGCAGCUCCUCAAAGACAGCGGCGGAGUUGUGGUAUCCUCUGAGCUUAGUAACUUGUUCUAGCUUUCGAGUACACCACUUCCCCUGCCGUAAAACCCUUAAUUUUUAAUGGUUGACCUCGGAUCAGGUAGGAAUACCCGCUGAACUUAAGCAUAUCAAUAAGCGGAGGA